GUCAGACUCGCCCUAUUUUACACACAUGCUGGGGUGGGAGGUCUGAGCUAGAAAGACUCUGGAUUUGAGCUUAUUCCUCAAAGAGACCCGUUCCGUUGCCUCAGAAUCCAGAGAAAGAAUUACUAAGGGAAAGAGUCAAAAGGGUGGAAGGCAGAUGGAGAGCCAAGCCUGGAGCCAGAGGUCCUGGGUCUCCACCACUUCCCAGCUGGGUGUCCCACGGCAAGUCUCAGUUACUCUAGUCUCUCACUACCACUCUUUGGCCGUAGAAACAAUAGAGCGUUGUUAACUAGAAAAUAGCUAGAAUCUAGAAUAGAAAACAGAACUAGAACUACCCAGAGGUCAGAAAACCCACUCAGUAACCCGUAAAUGAGGCUUAAGCAUUUAGUCCCCACGCAGAGGGGACCCAUCAAAUCCCCUCCAAAACCACAUCCCUGGGAGAAGGCACCACACGAGCUGCUGCCUCCCCUGGGAGAAGACCCAACGCUCAGCAGCAACGCCGGAGAGACACGAGCCCUGAGAGUCAGUUUAUAUACCUUUUGGGACGCCUACAAAGACUGCCAACCACAAACAGAAACAUCAAUCUCUACACUGACAUGUGAAGGAAAGGAAGAAAUCAAAAAGGAAAACUGAUGAAUUGAAACUCCAGAGGGACUAAGAGAAACAGGACUGUUAUUUCAUAUGGGAUCCAUAUGUCACUGACUGAUUACUCAGGGCAGAGACUCUCACAAGAAUUUUAGUGAAAACCUCAGAAUUUUUCAGAAUAUAUCAAAAUGGAAAUAAAAUCCAUAUAGGAAAAAAUCA